CCAGCAGCCGCGGUAAUUCCAGCUCCAAUAGCGUAUAUUAAAGUUGUUGCGGUUAAAAAGCUCGUAGUUGGAUUUCUGCUGAGAACGACCGGUCCGCCCUCUGGGUGUGUAUCUGGCUCUUUCUUGGCAUCUUCUUGGUGAACGUUGCUGCACUUGACUGUGUGGAGCGCUACCCAGGACUUUUACUUUGAAAAAAUUAGAGUGUUUAAGGCAGGCUCUCGCCGCUGAAUACAUUAGCAUGGAAUAAUGGAAUAGGACGCCUUGUCCAUUUGAUUGGUUAUUGGACUUGCGUAAUGAUUAAUAGGGACAGUUGGGGGCAUUAGUAUUUAAUUGUCAGAGGUGAAAUUCUUGGAUUUAUUAAAGACUAACUUAUGCGAAAGCAUUUGCCAAGGAUGUUUUCAUUAAUCAAGAACGAAAGU
rnacentral:rRNA from 1 species